ACUUCAGACUUGGACUGGAGCUAAAUCACCAGCUUUCCAGGGUCUCCAACUCACCAACUAUUGAACUUGGGACUUUGUAGCCUUCACAGUCAUCUGUGCUCCACGGUGACGCAGCCAUGCUGGACCAGUUCAGACUAAACACAUAUACAUCAUUGUCUUCAUGUGUGCUUCUAAUGUGUCCACAUCAAACUCUGGAGAGGACUCUUGGGGACAGUAAAUGGGGCUGAGACCACCUCGAAGUAAUUUUCAACGUGCGUACCUGUCAUCCUCCCGUCACUUCUCCUGGAGCAGCCUCAGGGCAAGCCCACCGGGGCAAUGAUUCCAUGUUUCCAUCCAACCGCUAAACUCAUCCUUCAUGACCUGGGCCCAGGCCAACUCACCAGAUCGAGCUCCUAAGAAGAGAGCAUAUUGUGUGGUUGACAGGAAUUCCACUGAGAAGAGCUGGUCACCUCUUGGCUUCUUUAAUUGUUCCUCAUAAGGAACAUUUACGAUAUCAUGACGGGUGUUUGGAGGGAUGUUCAGACAGUAAUUUACUUGGGGGUAGAAAAACCAACCUUAUAAACACUGAAAAGAAGACAAAGCAUAUCAAAGGUUGCAUUUUUCUCUUUCACUCAAUAUUGAACAAAUAUUUAUUAAAUAUCCACCAUGUGUCAGACAUUACUCUGUGCUCUGGAGGCUCAAGGAAAUGAGAAUCAAUUGUGCCUUCAUCAAAAUCCCAGCUAACCAGGCAGGCAGUGUGAUAAGCUCUCUGGUCAGCUAAGUACACAUGCAGACCAGAUUCCCACUGAGGACUUGGGAAGGUUCUCAAGCAAAUGGUAAUUCAGCCGAGACUUAAGGGAUCAUCUCAGAGUUACUCAUGAGAGAACAGGCAGCACACAUAUGGGAAAAGUGUGUUCCUAUUAGAAAAAGGUGUAUAAGAAAGCAUAGGGAUAAAAAAAAAAAAAUAGCGCUGGUCAUUAAAAAUGACAAAUCAAGUGAUGGCAGCUGGAACACUGAGUGUGCAGAAAAGUGGCCAUGGGGAGGCUGCAUAAGUAGACAGGGAACCCCACAAUGAAGGGACUUAGAAGCAAUAUUGGGACAUUCAGACUUUUUCCUAAGAGCACAAAAGAGCCAGUAAAGCCCUUUAAGCAAGAUCCUAACCACAAAUCCUAAAUAAAAAUGCUUGUAGAAGGGUCAUAUCUGCCACAUUCAUUCGAUCAGAGUCUACCAAGUUCCAGACUCUAGGCUGGCCCUUGCAUGGACUGUACAUCAUCAACUGAAUCUAAGAAAACUUAAGAAAGCUCUCUUUCAGAGUUUGCCAAAGUCUGAAAAAAAGAGGGGAAACAGAAAGAAGAGUAGAUUAGUGUGAUGCUUAGUUUUAUGGGUCAAUAGGCUCAGAGGUGGUGCCCAGUGGUUUGGUCAAACUGUAGUUUAGAUGUUGCUAUGAAGGUCUUUUGUAGAUAUGAUAAACAUUUAUAAUCAGUUGACUUAAAUAAAGCACAUCAUCCUCUUUCGUGUAAGGGGCCUCAUCCAAUCAGCCAAGAGCCUGAGGUGCAAAAAUCAAGGUUUCCCAGAGAAACAGGAAUUCUGCCUCAAGACUAUAACAUGGAAACUCUGCCUGAAUUUCCAGUCGGCUGACCUGCCCUGAGGCUUUGAGACUCAAGACUGCUACAGCAACAUUUACGUGAAUGUCCAGCCUGCCAGCCCCAAUAAUCACUUACUUAAAAUUAAUCUCUAGAUAAAUUGACAGUAGAUAGAUAUAAGGAAAUGUAUACACACACACACAGUUGGUUCUAUAUCUGUAUCAUCAGAUCUCUGACUUCUAUAACCAGGAGUCUGAAAACCCACUCCAAUAUCCCCUCUCUAUCAUCUGACUUCUCUGAGCCCAUUGUCUCAUCAGCAUAAUAGAGACUAAUCACCCUCCUUUAGCACCAUGGCUGGCACAUAGUAGGUGCUUCAAAUCAUUUCUUUUCCCCUUUCCUUGAUUGAUUGAUAGGAUAGCUACAUAUCCAAUGAAGGGGCAUUUUUCUGCUGACACAGGCUGCACUUGAUGAAAUCUGAUCUAGAAUGGGAAAUACUAAACAAAAUAAAAAAGAAUUUACUCUCCGAGUAUUAUUGCCACUGUGAUGGAUGGCUGCUCCAAAGGCUAUUUCUCAAGAGUUCACAGUAGAGAAAAAUGUUCAGGCUUGAUUUUGUAUGCGUGUAGAAAAUAAAUUGUAUGACAAGGGUGGCGACAUUUGGACGGGGGAGAGGGCUUAGCCAAGGAAUUAAACAUGUCAGGAGCCUCCAAAGAAAAAGAAUGUUGAAAUGGAAGGUGAAAGGGGCAUAUUUGGAAAACUUGACAAGUGGCACAGUGGGAGGAAAGGUGGCAUUCUGGAAUGGGGUGUCAGCCACUCUCUGCCACUAAAGCCACGAUUUGCCCUUAAUAAUUCAGCGAGGUAGAAAGGAAAAAAUAUGAGCCCAACUUCUAAAGCUCUAUUAUCACAACUGGCUUAAAUUAUUUUCCCUUGCUUAAUUGACCACACAGCAAACAGAGAGAGAAUAAAAUCAGCCAGGGCUUUUUUUUUUUUUUUUUUUUUUUCUUUUAAAUGGAAUCUUUGCCUAGGUAAUCUCUCAAGUUCCUGUCAACAAAACUCCCAACAUUAGAAAUAAACGAGACCCUGGGAGACAAAAUAACUGGAAUAAUGUCACACAGAACAUAAGUAGAAAACCCAAGUAGAAAACCCAGGCCUGGGAGCUCCCAACCUCAGGGCUUUGCAAGGAAUGAAGAGUAUUAUCCUGGCAAGGAUGGCACACAGGUUGCAGUCAGCACACCAACUUUAAUUGAUUAACUGUGCUGGGUUGAGGUGUGUGAGAGCAAAUGCAGGUUCACCAUGAAAGCAGGGCUUAAUUGAUUAGUGAUAUCUGUCGUGGGAGCCAGAGGUUCUCCAGGCAGGCCAAAUAUUUGUCAUUCCUUAUCUGGUCUAACUUUUUCUUUUUUCCCCUGUAUUACAGGUCUGCAAAAUAUAGCUGGUGGGCCAAAUUGGGCCUACUGCCUGUUUUUAUAAAUAAAAUUUUACUA
rnacentral:lncRNA from 1 species